AAAUGAGAGAUAAAUAUAUAAUUUAUAAAGCAUCCCACAAAGUGAAAAGAAAAGGGCAAACUUUCCUAAAGUCUAUAGACAUUACUACUAAGGAACCAAUUAAACAAAUCUAUUACUCGAAGGCCCAUUGAUUCUCCCUUCGAACCUCCUCUUCCUCCUCUGGAGUAAAAUCAUUCUUGAUGUUGAACGUCUUUCGAAUUUCCUCUGGAGUCUUUCCUUUGAUCAUGUCAGCCACAGUCUGGCAUGUGAGAUCCAAAAGGCUUUUGAUGUUCA
rnacentral:misc_RNA from 1 species